rnacentral:rRNA from 1 species
AUUGAACGCUGGCGGCAGGCCUAACACAUGCAAGUCGAGCGGAUGCAGGGAGCUUGCUCCUGGAUUCGGCGGCGGACGGGUGAGUAAUUCCUGGGAAUCUGCCUGGCAGCGGUUGAUAACGUCCUGAAACGGGCGCUAGUACCCCAUACCUCCUGAGGGAGUAAGUGGGGGAUCUUCGGACCUCACGCUAUCAGAUGAGCGUAGGACGGAUUAGCUAGUUGGUGGGGUAAAGGCCUACCAAGGCGACGAUCCGUAACUGGUCUGAGAGGAUGAUCAGUCACACUGGAACUGAGACACGGUCCAGACUCCUACGGGAGGCAGCAGUGGGGAAUAUUGGACAAAGGGCGAAAGCCUGAUCCAGCCAUACCGCGUGUGUGAAGAAGGUCUUCGGAUUGUAAAGCACUUUAAGUUGGGAGGAAGGGCAGUAAGUUAAUACCUUGCUGUUUUGACGGUACCAACAGAAUAAGCACCGGCUAACUUCGUG